GUCCACGCCGUAAACGUUGGGAACUAGGUGUGGGCGACAUUCCACGUUGUCCGUGCCGCAGCUAACGCAUUAAGUUCCCCGCCUGGGGAGUACGGCCGCAAGGCUAAAACUCAAAGGAAUUGACGGGGGCCCGCACAAGCGGCGGAGCAUGUGGCUUAAUUCGACGCAACGCGAAGAACCUUACCAAGGCUUGACAUACACCGGAAACAUCUAGAGAUAGGUGCCCCCUUGUGGCUGGUGUACAGGUGGUGCAUGGCUGUCGU
rnacentral:rRNA from 1 species